rnacentral:rRNA from 1 species
AGCGAACGCUGGCGGCAGGCCUAACACAUGCAAGUCGAACGAACUCUUCGGAAUUAGUGGCGCACGGGUGAGUAACACGUGGGAACGUGCCUUUAGGUUCGGAAUAACUCAUGGAAACUUGUGCUAAUACCGGAUGAGCUCUUCUGGGGAAAGAUUUAUCGCCUUUGUAGCGGCCCGCGUCUGAUUAGCUAGUUGGUGAGGUAAAGGCCCACCAAGGCGACGAUCAGUAGCUGGUCUGAGAGGAUGAUCAGCCACAUUGGGACUGAGACACGGCCAAAAAUCCUACGGGAGGCAGCAGUGGGGAAUCUUGCGCAAUGGGGGAAAGGCUGACGCAGCAAUGCCGCGUGAAUGAUGAAGGUCUGAGGGUUGUAAAAUUCUUUCACCGGGGACGAUAAUGACGGUACCCGGAGAAGAAGCCCCGGCUAACUUCGUG